UAUUCAGAAUUAGUAUGAUACUACAUUGAUUCCUCACAUUUCCAGAUGAUGUGAUCAUUUGGACCAUGUUUCGUUUUUGUAGCAUGUCGUGUGUGAAUCUAUAAAAGCUCAGUUCUUUCUUGCCCUCUCUCAGACCUUUUUGUACAGGCCACUCGCUCUGGGAGUUGUCCGUGCUAUAUGAUAAGUCCAAAAUGCCCCCCUCUUAGGAACGAGCUCUGGAUGUUCAACAACUUUUACAUGGUUUCGCUUUACUCACGGCCCCCGUCUUCCCCGCACAGAUGUUGGAUACAUUACGAAACCUAUGAACAAUAAAGAAUGGCUUAAAGUUCUAAGGCUGCAAACAAAAGAAUGUUCUAAUGGCAGCAGCUUAUAUAUAUAUAAAAAAAGAUAUUUGGACAGGUUUAGGAUUCAAUUACUGUGUGAUUGAGUGUUGACAUUUUUGAGGCUACAUGACAGGAAAUUCAUUAGAAGCAGAGCAGCUUGGGAAGGAUUGCGGGCUGCCGUUAAAGGAAAUGGGUGAUUGCGAAAAGAAUGCUGGCGGAGGUAGAGAGUGGAGGUAGGCAGUGGAACAGAUGAAAGAGAAGCUGAAGAAUAAGAGUGUGGAACUCGCUCUCGUUGCCCGCAGUGAGGCAGAGGCCAGAGAGAGAUGCAGAUGGGCGCAUCCUCAGGUAAUCCAUCCAUUUAUGAGAAGGAUUGAUGGAUCUGAGGCAAACGCAACUGAGGUAAAGCCCACAUCUAUCUUGGCUAAGGGAUGUGGUCCACCGACAGGCUGGGAGGAGGAAUUACACGCACGAGCACGACGGCCCCUCAUAAAUCACUGCCGCCCAGGGAAAGUGUCACGUUCCAGCGCUUGGUGGGAAUUGGGCAGAGGAAACAGGAAGGGGAGCCGAUGA
ensembl:lncRNA